rnacentral:lncRNA from 1 species
UGGGGUGUCUAUGUCCAUUGGAUUUGAUUUAGUCUGGUUGUUGGAUUUAAAUUUUAUGGAUACAGCCUGAUGUAGACAAAGUAAUUGUGGGGCUGAGGUACAGCAAACUCUUUUGCCUAACAUCUUGCCACUGUUCUUUCCCGAAGUUUUAGUUUUUUGACUGUCUCCGGCAAAUUGUUAAAGUUGUCAGGAAAGAUGGACCUUUGCCUAAUGGCAGAGGAGUCCUUUUAGAACCCCAGCAACCUGCGUGGAGUUGCUAAUGCAGACUCUUCUUUCCCCCAACAGGAGUCUUGUAACGGAUGGUUUAGGAUCCAGGCAAGGCAGCCUUCAACACUCUCUGCAACCUAACCCCAGAGUUUACAGAUAGUACGUGUCGCAGUGGCUUAUGUUAACCCCCUUUCACUUCCAUCUGAUAUCUCGUUCGCACAGCGGCGAGUGGGUUUGUCACGUAUUAAUUUUUCAUUGCUGUGGAGAGUUGUACAUACAUAAUCACUUGAUUGCAGUGGGAGUUAGGGAGCUCCUAUGGUGCCAUUUGCCGCAUUAACAGCUCCUGAAACUUUGACACUGCUCACAGCGAGUUGGUUGACUGCCUCACCGGCGUGUGCUGCUUUCAUGGAGGAAACAAAUGUGAAGACCACGCUGAAACUUGAUAGAGAUCGGAGGAGAUGGAGAGGAAUGGCAGUGCCCUUCCUUCAGGGGCAUGGAGAGAGGAGCUCCACAGGCCUGCGGCCUCUCUGCGUAGGCAGAGGUUUACAGGAGGAUGGCUCACGUUUAUUAAGCCCCACCAAUGAGGAACCAAGGUGAGCGAGAGGCUCAGGAAAAGUUCCUUUAUCUCCCUCGCAGGGCAUGUGAUGGGCUGUGGCUCACUUCUUUGGUGUCCUGCAGCUCAGACCCCUAGGGGGGCGGGCAGGCAGUCAGGCGGGUUGUGGGGAGCAUGGGCUCUGAUCCCACAGCAUGGUCUAGGGCUGGGUGUUCACAGCUCCUGAAGCCCCAGUGGGCGUGUGUUACAGUGUGCUUUUCGGUUUGGCUGUCCACAGGCAGCCUGUGAAAGUACUCCGACUUGGGAGUUUCCAUUGAAACUUUCCUAAGUUGUGGUAAACUGUUGUCAUUUGAAUUAAGACUGUUGCUGGAACGAAUCCUUACACCAGGUGUGUAGCUCUCACUCUGUGCAGUGCGUUUUACAGCUGUUGAGGCCUUUCAGUCCCGUCCAUGGGAGACCUCCUUCAGGCUGGUUUUGAAAACCAAAGCUCCCUUCCCUUGCAGAGGCAGCUCCUCAGGGCCACAGGUAAAUGUUGGGCCUGCAGCUGGGGAUGUUCAGGAAGAGCCUGUGGAUUGAGCAGGUGCCCACUGUCCGUCAGUUGUGUCACUGGUUGCUUUGACAGUGGCCUCCCAGAGUGCUGGGAUUUCUCCAAGUCUUUGAGUGAAAUUGAUUCUCCACGCAGACUCUCCUUGCUCACCCUGAGGUUUCAGGGCUUUGACCUGAGGGCUGAGACCCCAGGGCACAGCUCCUGACCCACGUGGCUGAAGGGCUUGGAGCAGGAGGUAAGGGCUGCCGGCGUACCUCCAAGGUGAUGAAUAUUUCUACUUGAUAUUUCUCAUGGUAUUUCUGCACUUUAAUGACUAUUUCUACUAAUACUUGUACUAAUAAUUUUUAAUGGUUCACAUUGAGUAGGUGACAUUUUGAUACAUUAAUGAGCCUUAUCAAUGACUUUUAAAAGUUCUUUAGUGUGCCAGGAUACUUUGCUGCAGCCCCUGGAAGGAAGGGGAGAGGGUGUGGCUGUGGCCGUGGCU